rnacentral:misc_RNA from 1 species
UACGGAGGGUGCGAGCGUUAAUCGGAAUUACUGGGCGUAAAGCGCGCGUAGGCGGCUUGAUAAGCCGGUUGUGAAAGCCCCGGGCUCAACCUGGGAGCGGCAUCCGGAACUGUCAGGCUAGAGUGCAGGAGAGGAAGGUAGAAUUCCCGGUGUAGCGGUGAGAUGCGGAGAGAUCGUGAGGAAUACCAGUGGCGAAGGCGUCCUUCUGGACUGACACUGACGCUGAGGUGCGAAAGCGUGGGUAGCAAACAGG